rnacentral:lncRNA from 1 species
AGUCUUCUGCAGGAUUACAUUACAUAUGCUAGUUACUGCCCGAACAAGUUACAAAAAAAAAUAUUGCUUACGAUUUCUUCUAAUGUUUGUUCACAAUAUCACUCAAGCUGCA